UUAUUUUUUUUAAUACUAAACAGUUGUUUCAAAUCUACUUAUAUUUUGAUGUUUGUGUUAUUGGUUUCUUACUUACUUUAUUUUUUUUUCCUAACUUUCAGUUUUUUAAUUUUUUUUAAUAAUUGACCACAUUUUUUUUAUUUUUUUCUGAAGCUCAUGUAUGUAGCUGUUAAAGACACACAUAGACACACCAACCCUAAUCUCAGAUUAGGCCUUCUUCCUCCCAGAGGCAGUACGCUCUUCAAGCUGCCCUCCCCUCCAUUCUGGCCAUCGGCCUUCUUAUUAAGGAUGUUUUGGUCACUCCAAUGAACUCGAACCACAAUUCCAUAUCCGAUAUCUAACUAUACUCCGUCCUCAAGAUGUGAAGAUACGAAUCAAAUGUUCAGGAGUCUUCCCCUGAUUACAGGCGAAUAGGGCGGUGGCCGACCAUUAAAAAAAGAAAAAGAAAAUGAAGGCCAUGGCUCAACAAAGGCAACGAUAGCAUAAGGACACAAUUGAAAUUCAGAGACUUCCUUUACGUUGGCAUGAGACAGUUUUUCCGGUAAUGGCAAAUCAGCUGCUUGGCGAUUAGAGUUCUCAUUCUUUCCAUUGCUGGUUCUAUGUUCCAGUAGCUAUGCAUGCACUUGGUGUCGAUGCAAAACAUGCCGGCUCUAGAAGAUGAGCAAAAUGAUGAGAAGCACAUUCCUACUCAUAGCCAAGGAACCAAAACACCAGAAAUAUUUGUCUGCUCAAAAGCCAGCACAGAUCCAGGUGUUUCCAUCCUCUAAAGGACAGGGCGGCUUAAAGGAAGACGGGGGUACAAUGCAGCAUAUUCCAUAUGCUUCCACCUUUUGAUAAAUGCUGUUAAUGUACUUGAGUGUAUCCUUGGCUUGAAUUCC